UGACCUCGGAUCAGUAGGAA
rnacentral:rRNA from 1 species